rnacentral:lncRNA from 1 species
CAGCAGUGUCCUUAGUUGGUUCUGAAGGGCAUUUUGCACAGUGUUUAGCAAUGAUUUGGGCCAUAUUACUUCUCAUUCUCCAAGUCUGGUCCUCCAAGUUUUUAGGCAAUUUUGUAUUUAUUUUCUGCUAUAAUCAGCCCAAACCCAUUUCUUUUGCUCUGGAACUUAGAAGUGAUCUAGUCAACUUACAUGGUAAGCAAUCAUCUAUAGCAAAAAUUUAGAGUAAAAUUAGACCAAGAUUGAUUGAACAUUCAUGUUUCAAACUGCAGAAAAUCUUGGAGUUUUUUUAGACAAUAAUAUUAAUGUUACUACUGCUAAUAAAAGAUAGCUUUAUUGAGAAACUACUGUAUGUCAUGAUCUGUAUUAAGCCUUUAUAUGAAAAAAAAAAGCCUUUAUAUGCAUUAUUUCCUGUAAUUCAAGGAAGAUAUAGGAACUCAAAUCUGAUGAAAAUAAGCCAGAUGAAAAAACAUGGCCUAUAAUCUAGUGGAGGAGGAGGAGGAUGAUGACGAUGACAAUGAUGAAGAUUAUGAUGACAAUGAUGUUGGUAAUGAUGAUAAUGAUGGCAAUGACAAUGAUGAUGACAAUGACAAUAAUGAUGAUUAUGAUGAUGACAGUGAUGUUGACAAUGAUGAUGAUGACAACAUCUGGAAUGUGGAGAAUCACAGUUAGGGUCAACCGCCUAUAUAACAGAGCUUGUUUGAAGUGUCUCAAGUCCCAGGCUCUAAUGGACCCCAACUCUGAUAAAUCACCUUCAUGCUCAGAAGGAAAGAUAAGACUUAUGCAACUAUUGCUUAUAGUGAUAACCUCUACAUCUCCUGGAAUUAGCCUCAACUUAGUGAUCAGAUCCAAUCAUUUCUAGAAGCGGACCCUCCAAGUGAGUAUUGAAGAAAGCACAUGUGCUUUCCUAAAGCAGAGCAUUUAUCAUGCUAUAUUUUAACUCUUGUUUUUUCUGACUCUCCCAGUAAACUAUGAGUUUCUUGGGAGCAGAGAGAGGAGUAAACUCAUUGUACCCAUAGUAUAUCCCACAGAAUGUUUGUUGAAUCGUUGCAUAGACUUGUCUGCACUGUAUCUAUCUCAGUCAUGGCUGUGUAUCCACUAAUAUCUGUAAUUGCAUUCAAGUAAAUAUUUGUAAUUUAGCUGUGUAGAAUUAAUAAACCAAUGUAAAAUAUUAACUGAAAAAUCA